UCCUGCAAUCACAUUUAUUUGCAUAUAUAAUACCAACACAAUAAAAUAUCUACAUAUAAAACUGAAUAUUACUGCGCUCAUUGACAAAUAACCUCUACAUAGAUUUUUAAACUGAGGUUGUCUCUUAAAAACAUUUACUUGAUGAAUGGUAGCAUUGGGUUUCAUAUUGUACAUUAAAGUUUUAUAAUUUAAAUUAAUUCGAUUUCCUUCAUUACAGAAAUAUCUUAAGUGUGUGUUGUGCAAAAAAUAACUUAUCCGAGUACCUCAAAGUGAAUUUUAGAGAAAAAAUUGUCAUAUAGUAAGUAGUACUCCUAACUAGUCCAUAAAUAUUUCUGGCAAACAAGAGUUUUUACUUUUUACAUACUUUGGGUCACAUCCCUUUCCAUCAUCAGAUUUGAAAAGUUUGAAUGCUUUUGGGACUUUUUUUCACUGAGUAAAAAUAUGAAAAUAAUGCAGAUAAAAACAGCUGGAAUGCGCAAAUAAGAUGAGAUAAGCAUUUGUAGCAAAAUUUAAAACAAUCAGUUAAAACAAUUUAUGUAACUUGUAUAUAUUUUUUUUUGUUUUUUGGGGCAAUACAGAUCAAUAUAAUUCUGGAUCAUCUGACAACAGAUGCAAAAAUACAUUUUCAAUAGAAUUCAGAACUGAAAUCAACAUAAAAGUAAACAGGUACUUUUUAGUGGGUUUGUUUUGGUUUAAUUCUUAUGUGUACAGCAAAAGUAUUUUAUACUUGCAACAAUGUUUGGGUAACCAAUUUAGUUUGCUAUUAAUGCUAUUUACAUAUGUAUUGAAAGUUAAUUGAAAAAAAUAUAACUUAUUCUAACAUACAAUAACACCUAAUAGAGUAAACUUAUUUUUAGAUUUUCAGGUAUGAAUAUAUUACCAUA
rnacentral:lncRNA from 1 species